rnacentral:sRNA from 1 species
GAACGUCACCACCCCUGGUGUCGAGCGACACCAAUACUUGACGGCAAUUCGAAGACGCAACUUAUUGAUGUUUUGAAGAUUUCCAAAUUUGGCCCAGAACUUUCUCUUAUUUCUAAAGAAGGGCCAUCACGUUUUUAGAUCAUAUAUAUAGUUUUAAAGGUCAUUGUUUAGACCUAAGUUUGGAGA